GGAUGAUUCAGCAAGAGAUUCAGAUAUUAAACUGAAAGGACUAGGUUUUCAUAGAAUAAAAAUAUGUAGUCAAACUAUAUUGAACCUCUUCAGAGAGGACUGUAUUACGAAAAUAGAAGAGAAGAUGACUAACAGAUUCUAGCUAUGGAAACAGACACAGAUGUCUAGAAACAACGAAUAUCACCAAGUCCAAGUCGCUUUCUUUCCUAUGAGGACACUAAGACUCAGAGGAAUGAAGUAAGUUUAGGAAGACUGCACAGAGUGGAUUAAAGCACCAAGCUCCUGAGAGUCAUUCAGAGUUUUGCUCUGUGUUGGAAGCAAGCAGAGGAAGUAACCAAAAGUGGAUCUGGAUUAGAACGAUUCUCGAACUUCCCUUUCCAACAUCUGUCUUGCUAUGGGGCAAGUCAGAGAGGAGGCGGCCUCACAAACAGCCCUUUGUCAGAGCUAACAGCAUGUUUUUCUUGUGAGAAAUGCCCUUUUCCCUAAUGUGAGGUUUGAAAACUGUUGCUUAUCAAAAGUGGAAGUGUUUGACCCUCAUUGGUGUGCACUAGUGGUGGUAAUGUCACCAGUUCCUCAAAGUGAAGGCAGAUGUUUGCAGUAAGAAGUCAACACUGAACAAAAG
rnacentral:lncRNA from 1 species